rnacentral:rRNA from 1 species
AUUGAACGCUGGCGGCAGGCCUAACACAUGCAAGUCGAACGGUAACAGGAAGCAGCUUGCUGCUUCGCUGACGAGUGGCGGACGGGUGAGUAAUGUCUGGGAAGCUGCCUGAUGGAGGGGGAUAACUACUGGAAACGGUAGCUAAUACCGCAUAAUGUCGCAAGACCAAAGAGGGGGACCUUCGGGCCUCUUGCCCUCGGAUGUGCCCAGAUGGGAUUAGCUUGUUGGUGGGGUAACGGCUCACCAAGGCGACGAUCCCUAGCUGGUCUGAGAGGAUGACCAGCCACACUGGAACUGAGACACGGUCCAGACUCCUACGGGAGGCAGCAGUGGGGAAUAUUGCACAAUGGGCGCAAGCCUGAUGCAGCCAUGCCGCGUGUAUGAAGAAGGCCUUCGGGUUGUAAAGUACUUUCAGCGGGGAGGAAGGGAGUAAAGUUAAUACCUUUGCUCAUUGACGUUACCCGAAGAAGAAGCACCGGCUAACUCCGUG